rnacentral:rRNA from 1 species
UACGUAGGUGGCAAGCGUUGUCCGGAAUUACUGGGUGUAAAGGGCGUGUAGGCGGGACUGUAAGUCAGAUGUGAAAUUCCAGAGCUUAACUCUGGAGCUGCAUCUGAAACUAUGGUUCUUGAGUGCUGGAGAGGAAAGCGGAAUUCCUAGUGUAGCGGUGAAAUGCGUAGAUAUUAGGAGGAACACCAGUGGCGAAGGCGGCUUUCUGGACAGUAACUGACGCUGAGGCGCGAAAGCGUGGGGAGCAAACAGG